GUUUUCGUAGUGUAGUGGUUAUCAUGUGCGCUUCACACGCGCAAGAUCCCCAGUUCGAUCCCGCACGGAAACA
rnacentral:tRNA from 1 species